UACGAAGGGGGCUAGCGUUGCUCGGAAUCACUGGGCGUAAAGGGUGCGUAGGCGGGUCUUUAAGUCAGGGGUGAAAUCCUGGAGCUCAACUCCAGAACUGCCUUUGAUACUGAGGGUCUUGAGUCCGGGAGAGGUGAGUGGAACUGCGAGUGUAGAGGUGAAAUUCGUAGAUAUUCGCAAGAACACCAGUGGCGAAGGCGGCUCACUGGCCCGGUACUGACGCUGAGGUGCGAAAGCGUGGGGAGCAACAGG
rnacentral:rRNA from 1 species